AUUGAACGCUGGCGGCAGGCCUAACACAUGCAAGUCGAACGAGUGGCGGACGGGUGAGUAAUGUCUGGGAAACUGCCUGAUGGAGGGGGAUAACUACUGGAAACGGUAGCUAAUACCGCCUACCAUCGGAUGUGCCCCUAUGGGAUUAGCUAGUAGGUGGGGUAAAGGCUCACCUAGGCGACGAUCCCUAGCUGGUCUGAGAGGAUGACCAGCCAACCUGGAACGGGGGCACGGUCCAGACUCCUACGGGAGGCAGCAGGGGGGAAUAUUGCACAAUGGGCGCAAGCCGGAUGCAGCCAUGCCGCGUGUAUGAAGAAGGCAUUCGGGUUGUAAAGUACUUUCAGCGGGGAGGCGUUACCCGCAGAAGAAGCACCGGCUAACUCCGUGCCAGCAGCCGCGGUAAUUC
rnacentral:rRNA from 1 species